GUGGCUGCAGUCCUUAGAGAAACAAUCUCAAAAAAUCAACACAGAAAAAAAGCUCCUGCAGGAUGAAGUCCCUAUGUUGCCUCCAUGCCCGUGACUCUGGCUCUUCCAGGAGCCCCGGAGAGGUUUUUGUGCUCUGCAGCUGUUGAAAAGUGAAAGAAACACAAGGAGCAAAAGUCCUUCUGCCCCCCGAGGUGCCGCAAGUUUUGGGGACAAUCUGGAAUAAAGGAAGCAAGUGCAGUGGUGUCAGAAUGAGUACAGAGUGG
rnacentral:lncRNA from 1 species